CAAAUGCCCCAGCCAUGGCCGACGAUCUGGCCAGUGGCCCUGGCACCCUGCUGACUCUUGCUGUGCCUCCUGACAGUGACACGGGUUGUCCUUUAGCUUCUCUGUCACAUAGAGGUUUAUACGCCUGGGUGAUUCACGUUCGCCAUGCCCAAGUGCUGGCGGGCCGCCCCGAUACACUGUGGCGACGGCGCCUGGGGCCACCAAGUUCCCCACUGGCCCACCCGGCAUGGCACACAUUGUAUAAGCUGCCAAUCGCCAAGAAGACUGGUGACCUGCAGUGGCGGUUGCUGCACAGCAUCCUAGCCACUGGCACGUUUGCAUCCCACUUUGACCCAGCUGCCUCGAUGGCCUGUUCCUUCUGCCCUGGGGGUGUUGAGGAGACCCUCUUUCAUGCUUUCCUGGACUUCCCUCGCCUGCAGCCACUCUUUGUCACCCUUGGCCCGCUGCUGCAGGCUCUGGGCAGGAGCUUUUCGGAGACCACCUACGUGUGCUCCUGCCCGUACUGGGCAGCUGAGAAGGGCCCGUCUGCCUGGCCAACUUCGUCCUGGGUCAGGCCAAGUUGGCCGUCUUCAAGAGCCACCGGAACCAGCUUGCUGGGACUGGCUCAGAUGAUGCCCUGCGGCUUUUCUGCCUCCUGGUGCAGGCGCGCCUCUCACUGGAGUUUGAGCAGGCUGUGCUCCGGCGAGUGGUGCCCGCCUUUGAGACACGCUGGGCUCUUGAGGGAGCGCUGUGCCAGGUGGAGGAUGGCCAUCUCAAAUACGCCCUCUGAUGUCAUGACCGGUCUGGGCGACCGGGGUGGCUUGGUGUCAAACUGCGACUUUCAGCUCUGCCUCGUCUUGGGCCCUCACCAGGCUGCUUUUUUGCUCUCUUUUGUGUGGAAGUUGAAGGUUUUGUUACUCGUAUGAUGGGAUGGAGCAGGGUCUGAAUUGUUUAUGACUGUGUGGCCGGCACGCCGACCAUGUAAUUAGCAUGUAAGACACGACGUGAAAUGCAGUGGAGGUGUCUGUCACGGUGUGAUGUGUUGG
rnacentral:lncRNA from 1 species